CUGGAGGGCCAUUCUGCUCUGGGGUUGGCUGCCAAGCAGACCUCUCCCCACCCUGUCAUCACUGUGCUUCACUUCUGAGGCUCCCACGUCAGCUUUGGAAAGGGCCUCCCUGCUCUUGCCAUGAACCCUGGGGUAGCCUUUCCUUGAAUUCAAGAAUCUCCCAGCUGAAGGAUCUUCAGAAGGGCACUAGCUUCCUCUUCACCUGGGCCACGUCUGGCUGAUACAGUGUCAUCUGGGACCUGUCAGGAAUGAGCAUUCUGCCCGGAAAGUUGCCCUCGAAGUCACUAUGAAGCCUAGGCUGGCCUGGAACUCACAGUGCUCCUCCUGCCCCAGCCUCCUCACUGCUGAGAUUACAGCCCAAGCAAACACAUACAAUCUGGAGAGAAGAGGAUGUGCCAGGAAGUCAAGAGGAGAGACAAGGCUGAGUGAAAGUGGCUGACUGUGGUACAGGCUUCAAGUCUUGACCUUGUGGGAAGUCGUGGACUCUGCUCACAGGUGUGAGGGCUACAGGUGCAGUGCUCUCUGGUGGGUACCCCUUCCUGCUUGAGAGAAAGCAGGACAGCAGAGUUCUUCUUUCCAAGAUAAAUAUGUAAUUAAAGAUUUAUUACCUCAAUCACCAAGUACCAGAUAUAAAUUCUGAAGGAG
rnacentral:lncRNA from 1 species